AUGAAGAUAGCGGGAGAGUAAUGACUAUAGUCAUUCACCGAAGAAGUAAAUCUUUCAGGUACCUAUUUAAUUAGAGAUGACCGCUAUUGGAUG
rnacentral:ncRNA from 1 species